AGAGUUUGAUCCUGGCUCAGAUUGAACGCCGGCGGCAGGCCUAACACAUGCAAGUCGAGCGGUAACAGAAAGUAGCUUGCUACUUUGCUGACGAGCGGCGGACGGGUGAGUAAUGCUUGGGAACAUGCCUUGAGGUGGGGGACAACAGUUGGAAACGACUGCUAAUACCGCAUAAUGUCUACGGACCAAAGGGGGCUUCGGCUCUCGCCUUUAGAUUGGCCCAAGUGGGAUUAGCUAGUUGGUGAGGUAAUGGCUCACCAAGGCGACGAUCCCUAGCUGGUUUGAGAGGAUGAUCAGCCACACUGGGACUGAGACACGGCCCAGACUCCUACGGGAGGCAGCAGUGGGGAAUAUUGCACAAUGGGCGCAAGCCUGAUGCAGCCAUGCCGCGUGUGUGAAGAAGGCCUUCGGGUUGUAAAGCACUUUCAGUCAGGAGGAAAGGUUAGUAGUUAAUACCUGCUAGCUGUGACGUUACUGACAGAAGAA
rnacentral:rRNA from 1 species